UACGUAGGGGGCUAGCGUUGUCCGGAAUCAUUGGGCGUAAAGCGCGCGUAGGCGGCCCGAUAAGUCUGCUGUGAAAGUCCAGGGCUCAACCCUGGAAUGCCGGUGGAUACUGUCGGGCUAGAGUUCGGAAGAGGCAAGUGGAAUUCCUGGUGUAGCGGUGAAAUGCGCAGAUAUCAGGAGGAACACCAAUGGCGAAGGCAGCUCGCUGGGACGUGACUGACGCUGAGACGCGAAAGCGUGGGGAGCAAACAGG
rnacentral:rRNA from 1 species